GGCUCAGAUUGAACGCUGGCGGCAUGCCUUACACAUGCAAGUCGAACGGCAGCACGAGUGCUUGCACCUGGUGGCGAGUGGCGAACGGGUGAGUAAUACAUCGGAACGUACCUUAUCGUGGGGAUAACGCAGCGAAAGCUGUGCUAAUACCGCAGUACGCCCUGAGGGGAAGCGGGGAUCGAAGGACCUCGCGCGAUUAGAGCGGCCGAUGCCUGAUUAGCUUGUUGGUGGGGUAAAAGCCCACCAAGGCGACGAUCAGUAGCUGGUCUGAGAGGACGAUCAGCCACACUGGGACUGAGACACGGCCCAGACUCCUACGGGAGGCAGCAGUGGGGAAUUUUGGACAAUGGGGGAAACCCUGAUCCAGCAAUGCCGCGUGAGUGAAGAAGGCCUUCGGGUUGUAAAGCUCUUUUGUCAGGGAAGAAACACCGGCUCUAACACAGUCCGGGAGUGACGGUACCUGAAGAAUAAGCACCGGCUAACUACGUG
rnacentral:rRNA from 1 species